rnacentral:rRNA from 1 species
CCUACGGGGGGCAGCAGUAGGGAAUAUUGCGCAAUGGGGGAAACCCUGAAGCAGCAACGCCGCGUGAAGGAUGAAGGUUUUAGGAUUGUAAACUCCUUUUGUGGGAGAAGAUAAUGACGGUGGCUCACGAAUAAUAACCGGCUAACUCCGUGCCAGCAGCCGCGGUAAUACGGAGGGUGCAAGCGUUACUCGGAAUCACUGGGCGUAAAGAGGGGGGAGGCGGGCUUGUAAGUCAGAUGUGAAAUCCUGUAGCUUAACUACAGAACUGCAUUUGAAACUAUGAGUCUAGAGUGUGGGAGAGGUAGGUGGAAUUCUUGGUGUAGGGGUAAAAGCCGUAGAUAUCAAGAGGAAUACUCAUUGCGAAGGCGACCUACUGGAACACUACUGACGCUCAUGCACGAAAGCGUGGGGAGCAAACAGGAUUAGAUACCCGGGUAGUC